GUAAAUACUGGCCAGAGACCGAUAGCGCACAAGUAGAGUGAUCGAAAGAUGAAAAGCACUUUGGAAAGAGAGUUAAAAAGUACGUGAAAUUGUUGAAAGGGAAGCGCUUGCAACCAGACUUGUCCGCAGUUGCUCAGCCGGUCUCCUGACCGGCGUACUCUUCUGGCGCCAGGCCAGCAUCAGUUCGGGCGGUCGGAUAAAGGCCUCGGGAAUGUAGCUCCUCUCGGGGAGUGUUAUAGCCCGGGGUGGAAUGCGACCAGCCUGGACUGAGGAUCUCGCUUCGGCAAGGAUGCUGGCGUAAUGGUUGUAAGCGGCCCGUCUUGAA
rnacentral:rRNA from 1 species